UUUUCCUUUCAUUACAAAAUGAAGAUGUGUGUGUUUUGUGGUUGUUAAUGUAUGUAUUUUUACUUGUGGCCUAUGUCAGUGUCCUGUACAUGUUUUCCUGUGUUGAACUUUCCAUAGUGCAUAUGGCUAUUGGACAAUGUUUAUUGUUUUAUGUAGUGGUUUUUUUGUUUCCGGGCCUUAUGUUUUUCAUAAAAUUAAAGCAAGCAUUUCUUAAAGAAUACAUGUUUAUAAGCAUAAUGGGUGGAUGUAUCAACAAUAGCAUGAAUACAUGAUUUUUUUUUUUUUUUUUUACAGUGCUUGAAAAAAGCAGUACUACUCGUCCUCCAGUAACUCCCAGCACAUCUGAUGAUGAUGACGCUGCGGAAGCAGGUCCAUCAAAAGAAGUCUGGAGCAGCAAAAGUGGGACUUCUGUAAGACAUCACCACAAAAAACCUGUGACAGCAAAGAAAGCAAGGUCUGAUGUCCAGGGCAAACCACAGCAGGCUACCCCGCCACAAAGAUUAUCGACAGUAUGUUCGGUCCCCCCACUCCAAAUUUUGGACACAUCUCCAAGACAUCAUCCACACUCCCCUCAUCUUGAUUCUUCUAGUCCUGGUAACAGCAUCCCUCCGCAACAACAGCAACACAGUGACAUGGAGGAGACAAUCAUCUUAGAAAUGCAGCCAUUAAGCCAAGGAAUAAGCCCCCAGCACCUGUUAGUACACCACCACAGCAAAGCACACCACCACCACAACACAGCCCAACAACACCAGUAACACAAGGCCCUGCUCAGGUGUUUUGGACCAUUUGAACUAGACAGCAGGCCACUAAUGAAGAUUGCCUGCGUAGGCAGACACAAAUGUUUGCAAGCCUACCAUGUCACCUCAGAAGAAUAACCAGAAAUAUGAGUAGACAAAAUGAACAAACAACCAGAAUUGGCAAUACCAUGGAACUCAUGCGUACAGACAUUACACAGGUCAUGGGCAACUUACAGCGCAUAAUGGAAGAACAGCACAGACUAAUGGAAGAACAGCACAGACAACAGCAAAGUUAUAUGAACAUUUUUCAAAACAAUCAAAAGAUUCAUGAAAGUUUUUUCCAAAAUUUAGACAAUCAAAAUGCUGCUACACGUGAACUCAAUGCCACCCUCACUAACCUGAAUGAAACACUCAGAUCCAUGCACCAACAGCAAACAAGCAGCAGUUCUGGUACGACUACUCCAACUAUCACGCCAGUCUCAUCACCACGAAGACGCUCCACCAGAGCACGACAACAUGACAGUGCUAAAGGCAAAGGGCAGGACAAGCAGGCACCCAAAAAAAAUUAACACAAAACAAACAAAUUUUACAUUUCUGAAAAGUAAUUCAAAAAAGUUAGUAAGUGUAUGUUUGGCAAAAUAUAUAUAACACUUAGCUCCUUGACAAUUUAUACAACAUCAUUAAUUAUAAGUGGUACAAACAACAGCAUAAUAUUUGUACGCACAUUUAUUCUUUACCAUCUUUGUUUUCUUUUGGAGGAGGGAAAUGUUGUUGGAGCUACACAUACAUGAUAGCAGGAAGUAACCAGACCACUUGAUUUUUUUCUAAUCAUUACCCUUUCUAGAUUCCAAUCAUUCUCCUAUCCUGCACACACAAUCAUUGCCAGGCAGCCACAUACAUGUUAGCAGGAAGUUACCAGACCACUUGAUUUUUUUCUAAUCAUCACUCUUUCUAGAUUCCAAUCAUUCUCAUAUCCUGCAGCCAAUCCACAUUACAAUGUGAUUGUUAACUAUUUUACCUUUCUUCUCUAUAUAACAUUACAAGAAUAACACAAUUGAGUUGCGUAAAAAGCUUUUAAUAUGUUGUCAUUGAAUUGAGAUAAUUCAGUGCCAAAAUGAAUGUCAUUAUUGUUGGGCCAUGUUUGUGUGUGUUAAAAAUGAGUAAUAAUGUUAUUACACAUGAUGCAGAAACCAAAAAAUAAUAAAUUUGUAACCAAAAUAAUAAUAAUGUGUAUAAUAAUGUAUAUAUGUGUCAAACUGUGUAUUUACUUACAAAUCAGCAAGUUUA